CCUACGGGAGGCAGCAGUGGGGAAUAUUGCACAAUGGGGGGAACCCUGAUGCAGCCACGCCGCGUGGGUGAAGAAGUACUUCGGUAUGUAAAGCUCUGUCAGCAGGGAAGAAAAUGACGGUACCUGACCAAGAAGCCCCGGCUAACUACGUGCCAGCAGCCGCGGUAAUACGUAGGGGCCAGCGGUAACCGGGUUUACUGGGUGGUAAGGGGGCGUAGACGGCAAGGCAAGUAUGGAGUGAAAGCCCGUGGCUCAACCACGGGACUGCGUUGGAAAACGUGUUGCUGGAGUGCAGGAGGGGUAAGCGGAAUUCCUAGUGUAGCGGUGAAAUGCGUAGAUAUUAGGAGGAACACCGGUGGCGAAGGCGGCUUACUGGACUGUAACUGACGUUGAGGCUCGAAGGCGUGGGUAGCAAACAGGAUUAGAUACCCUAGUAGUC
rnacentral:rRNA from 1 species